rnacentral:rRNA from 1 species
GACGAACGCUGGCGGCGUGCUUAACACAUGCAAGUCGAACGAGUGGAGAACGGGUGAGACACACGUGGGUGAACUGCCCUGCACUUCGGGAUAAGCCUGGGCAACUGGGUCUAAUACCGGAUAGUGUGGGAUGGGCCGGCGGCCUAUCAGCUUGUUGGUGGGGUAAUGGCUACCAAGGCGCGACGGGUAGCCGGCCUGAGAGGAUGAUCAGCCACACUGGGACUGAGACACGGCCCAGACUCCUACGGGAGGCAGCAGUGGGGAAUAUUGCACAAUGGGCGAAAGCCUGAUGCAGCCAUGCCGCGUGUAUGAAGAAGGCUUUAGGGUUGUAAAGUACUUUCAGCGGGGAGGCGUUACCCGCAGAAGAAGCACCGGCUAACUCCGUGCCAGCCGCCGCGGUAAUUC